GACGUAGGAUGCAAGCGUUGUCCGGAUUUAUUGGGCGUAAAGAGUUCGUAGGCGGUUUGUUAAGUCUGAUGUUAAAGACUGGGGCUCAACCUCGGAAAUGCAUUGGAUACUGGCAGACUGGAGUGCAGUAGAGGCAAGUGGAAUUCCCAGUGUAGCGGUGAAAUGCGUAGAUAUUGGGAAGAACACCGGUGGCGCAGGCGACUUGCUGGGCUGUAACUGACGCUGAGGAACGAAAAGCCAGGGGAGCAAAUGGG
rnacentral:rRNA from 1 species